rnacentral:pre_miRNA from 17 species
UGCAAUUGGGGGCAGCAAGCUAGAGGUGGCAACUGCAUAAUUUGCAAGAAAUUGUUGGCUGAAGAUCAUACCGAUGAUAUUCUUGCAAGUUAUGCAGUUGCUGCCUCAAGCUUGCUGCCUCCUGUUGCC